rnacentral:rRNA from 1 species
GAUGAACGCUGACAGAAUGCUUAACACAUGCAAGUCAACUUGAACUUCGGUUUGGGUGGCGGACGGGUGAGUAACGCGUAAAGAACUUGCCUCACAGAUAGGGACAACAUUUGGAAACGAAUGCUAAUACCUGAUAUUAUGAUUUUAGGGCAUCCUAGAAUUAUGAAAGCUAUAUGCGCUGUGAGAGAGCUUUGCGUCCCAUUAGCUAGUUGGAGAGGUAACGGCUCACCAAGGCGAUGAUGGGUAGCCGGCCUGAGAGGGUGAUCGGCCACAAGGGGACUGAGACACGGCCCUUACUCCUACGGGAGGCAGCAGUGGGGAAUAUUGGACAAUGGACCAAGAGUCUGAUCCAGCAAUUCUGUGUGCACGAUGAAGUUUUUCGGAAUGUAAAGUGCUUUCAGUUGGGAAGAAAAAAAUGACGGACCAACAGAAGAAGG